CCAAAACAAGCAUGCCGACCUGUGCGUUAAUCGCCAGUUUCGUGGCUGUGAGAAAAAAAAUUCCACAGUGGGAGAACCCGACCAGACGAUGGGGAUGGAACCAUAUCAGUCGCUGCAUAUCGGUCGUCUUUGAUUGAGCGACCCAAUCAGAGCGUUGCAAGCCUGCUGAUAGGCGGAAGUGGUUUUGGAUGGAUCGGCACUGCACUUCCAGAAGAUGGCGCUGUGGAGGAAAGAGUACAAGGGAGGAAAAACUCUUCAAAUGCCUGCUACCUUUGACUUUUUGUCGUGAAAAAUGGAUUGCACGGGUGCAAAGGAUGAGAGCUUCGUGGGUUCCAAAUGACAGCUCACGCGACGUCGAGUUCUACGUGAUGGCGAAUAGACGGGUCAACUCACGGCCUUGACAGACAAAGCUGCGUUGGCUGCUACAGUUCAGAUCGUUCCACCGGCCACCAUCUUUGAAUACAGCCGCAACGCAACCCUGACGCUUGCGAUAGCUCGGUUGCCGCGGUUUCCAGUAGCGGAACGACGACCGGCUCCCGUCGGACCACCCCCACGGAUCUCGGAAGAGGCCGAUCCACACGUUUUGAGCCGCGGACACGUUCCGGAUUGCCGUGUUCUCUUCUGCUGAGCCGA